UUAAUAGAAGCCAAAAUAGAGGCAUUUCAUUGUUAAUGAAAAUAUUGACUAAUUUUUAAUCCUAUUAAA
rnacentral:tRNA from 1 species